UGAAGUGGGCUCAUGAUCGCCCCGACUUUCGCAGUCGGAGAGGAAAGUCCGAACUCCGCAGGGCAAGAUGGUUCGUAACACGAACACUGGGUGACCGGUGGAAAGUGCCACAGAAAAUAGACCGCCUGGUUCGCCAGGUAAGGGUGAAACGGCGAGGUAAGAGCUCACCGCUUUCACGGUGACGUGGAAGGCAGGGCAAACCCCAUCUGGAGCAAGACCAAAUAGAGAGAUGUUUGAGGGCGGCUCCGUCCGAGAUCUCCGGGUAGGUUGCAAGAGGCGUCGGGCAACCGACGUCCCAGUGAAAUGAUCAUGGCUCCCUUCGGGGAGAGACAGAAUUCGGCUUAUAGCCCACUUCGCACA
rnacentral:RNase_P_RNA from 2 species